rnacentral:rRNA from 1 species
GACGAACGCUGGCGGCGUGCUUAACACAUGCAAGUAGACGGAAGUGGCGAACGGGUGAGUAACACGUGAGUAACUGCCCCCUUCUUUUGGAUAACCGCAUGAAAGUGUGGCUAAUACAGGAUAGUGGGGGAUGACUCGCGGCCUAUCAGCUUGUUGGUGGGGUAGUGGCCUACCAAGGCGACUACGGGUAGCCGGCCUGAGAGGGCGACCGGCCACAUUGGGCUGAGAUACGGCCCAAACUCCUACGGGAGGCAGCGGUGGGGAAUAUUGCACAAUGGGGGAAACCCUGAUGCAGCAACGCGCGUGCGGGAUGACGGCCUUCGGGUUGUAAACCGCUUUCAGCCAUGACGCGGUAGUGGCAGAAGAAGCACCGGCUAACUACGUGCCAGCAGCCGCGGUAAUUC